rnacentral:rRNA from 1 species
UAGGGAAUCUUCCACAAUGGACGCAAGUCUGAUGGAGCAACGCCGCGUGAGUGAAGAAGGUUUUCGGAUCGUAAAGCUCUGUUGUUGGUGAAGAAGGAUAGAGGCAGUAACUGGUCUUUAUUUGACGGUAAUCAACCAGAAAGUCACGGCUAACUACGUGCCAGCAGCCGCGGUAAUACGUAGGUGGCAAGCGUUGUCCGGAUUUAUUGGGCGUAAAGCGAGCGCAGGCGGAAUGAUAAGUCUGAUGUGAAAGCCCACAGCUCAACCGUGGAACUGCAUCGGAAACUGUCAUUCUUGAGUGCAGAAGAGGAGAGUGGAAUUCCAUGUGUAGCGGUGGAAUGCGUAGAUAUAUGGAAGAACACCAGUGGCGAAGGCGGCUCUCUGGUCUGCAACUGACGCUGAGGCUCGAAAGCAUGGGUAGCGAACAGG